rnacentral:sRNA from 1 species
UUUGAUGAUCUUACAGCAGAGAAGGAAGCUUUAUCUUCAAAAUGUGUCAAUUUGGCUAAAGACAAUCAAGUUCUUCAACAGGAGUUUUUAUCUAUGAAAAAAGUACAACAGGAAUGUGAAAAACUUGAGGAGGAUAAAAACAUGUUGAAAGAAGAAAUAUUAAAUCUUAAGACACAUAUGGAAAACAAUAUGGUAGAACUUAGUAAACUACAAGAAUAUAAAUCGGAGCUAGAUGAAAAGGCAAUGCAGGCAGUAGAAAAAUUAGUAGAAAUCCACUUACAGGAACGAGCACAAUAUGAAAAACAAUUGGAGCAGUUAAACAAGGAUAAUAUGGCUUCACUAAAUAAGAAGGAACUCACACUUAAAGAUGUGGAAUGUAAAUUCUCAGAAAUGAAAACUGCUUAUGAAGAGGUUACAACCGAAUUAGAAGAAUAUAAGGAAGCCUUUGCAGCAGCAUUGAAAGAUAACAAUUCCAUGUCAAAAAAAUUAAUGAAAUCGAAUAAGAAAAUAGCAACGAUCAGCAUGGAGCUCCUUAUGGAGAAAGAGCGGAUGAAAUAUUUUCUCAGCACUCUUCCUACAAGGCGAGACCCAGAGUCACCUUGUGUUGAAAAUCUUACUAGUAUAGGACUCAACAGAAAAUAUGUUUUCCAAACACCCAUAAGAAUUCCUAUUUCAAGCCCACAGACUUCAAAUAACUUCAAGAACUCCUUGACUGUGAUGGAGCCGGACUAUGUAGAACAAAUAACUAGAGAAACAAAGAGAACUGUUGCUGUGUUGGACACUUGCUCCCAUCUACUUACUUCUCUAUAAUCCACUGCCAUGGAAUGAGUGAUUUUUCUUAGAAGCAGAGGUGGAGCCACUGAGGAAGCACAGGCGAGCCCUCCCCAGCACGUGCUCACUGGUCCCCAACAGAAGAACCGCUGCCGCCUCCAUGAGGCUCCCAUUGUGGUGGGUUGUGUCACCCCACAAUGUCACUGUUGCUAAGCCCCCAUCGCCUCUGUGUUGUGGAGCAGUUAGAGACACACAGCCGUGUCUUGAGUGGCUCUGCGUGAAGGACCAUUUUCUAGGUGAGAGGCACAUCUCAACACAGCUGACUGAUCAGACUCAG